UCUCCCUUAAUUAUAGCAAAACAACUCUUCAACUAUUGCGACUUUGCAAAGUAUGACUCUUGUUUUCUAUAAUUAAUAUUGCUAACCUUGCAAUACUUUCCUUAAUAAUCAUACAAUCAUAACUUUUAUGCUCCCACUAUCUUGAUGAUUAUUAUAAAACAUAACACUUAUGCUCCCACUAGCUUCGACAUGUAUUCAUAAACAUCUUAACUUCCAGAAAAACAAUGCUUAUUGAAUUUCUUAAGUUCAUGUUUCUAAUACUUAAUGCUUUGAUAAUCUUUUAUCAAGGCUUCUUGAACUUAUACACCUUUGCCUUAGAUAGUUCAUAUGUGUAACAACUCAAAUUUUCAACCAAAAUUUUCAUUUAAAAAAAACAUAAUUAUUUCCAUUAAAAUAAGAUAUAAACAGUUAAAUCAUUCGGUCAUUACAAUUAUUCAAACUCCCAAGAUCAUGAAACAUUCUUCAGUGUGUAUCGAUCAUGCCGGCACCUUCCCACGGUCCUCGCUAGUACCUGAAAUACAUACAUCCACAACAACUGUAAGCAUAAAUGCUUAGUGAGUUCCCCAAUAUACAACUUACGCACAUACGCCUUCCGGCCCGGACCAUUCGGUCCACAUAACAUUGCCUUCCGGCCCGACCUUCCGGUCCAUGUGUCUCUGGGGACUUCCGUCCCUGCUGGGUAAACCUUCCGGCCUUACCCACGCCGACCUUCCGGUCCAUCACACAUCAUAUCGCCUUCCGGCCCAUAACAUAAUCGCCUUCCGGCCCAUAACAUACAUAGCACAUAUAACAUAUAACAUACCACAUAUAGCAUACAUAUCACAUAUCAUAUCCGACCUUCCGGUCACACAGUCAAACCCUUCCGGGUACAGUAUAGUGAGAAGACUCACCUCGUAAGUGCUGAAAGCUAGCAACUCCUGAAAUCACUCGCGCACAAACCAACGAGCUACAACCCUCCUAUAACAUUACAUAACUCAUUAACACUCAUAUCAUCUAAGUGUGACUAUCCCUAAGAAGUCAGACUUAGGUCAACUCUGGUCAACGGUCAACGGUCAACUCGACUGGACUCGGCGAGUACCAUGGCGACUCGGCGAGUCUAGUCGUCCUCACAAAUUCCUGAAUAUUCCCUUUCUACUCGUCGAGUAUCCCUCUUGACUCGACGAGGUCCUCGUGGAAGAAUCGCGGGGCCACCCCGACUCCACUCGCCGAGUCUGAUGAACAACUCGGCGAGUCCCAGUGAAUCUUCAAGCUACUCGCCGAGUCUGAAGAACGACUCGGCGAGUCCAUGCCAUGCAGACGAGUAACUGCUUCCUGGGAUGGGUCUCGUCCCGAAGUACACAUGCAUGGGACCUUCUGGACCUCUAAAGGUCCUAAUACAAGACUAUAAUCGUGGGGUAACAAGGCAUUACUUCAUCAAAUCACUAAAUGGGUUCUAUAAACCCUAAUUUCAUAAAUACAUCAAAAUAACAGACUUGGUCCGAUUAUUACCUGAAAACGCACCCUCUGUGUCCCCCAAAUCCCAGGACUCAAUCCUCCUUGAUAUUCCUUUAGCCAAAUCCCUCUUCUUCUUGCCUAACCAAUUCUUCCAAGUUCCAAAGCUUCCUCCCUUGCUCUAGGCGUCCACAGCGAUUAGGGUUCCUCUCAAAUGACCAAAAGACUGAAAAUGAUGGCCUAAGAGGCGUUUAAUACGAUCCAAACUGAACGGUUAGGGUUUCUGCUGAACAGCGUCGACUCGCCGAGUCCAUAUCUGGACUCGUCGAGUCCAGUCGCGGAACCGCGACCAAGUCCGCGAUCCUACUCGGCGAGUCUAGGCUCNUAGUGCUUUGAUAAUCUUUUAUCAAGGCUUCCUGAACUUAUACACCUUUACCUUAGAUAGUUCAUAUGUGUGUGUAAACAAUUGUCAAACCUCACAAUUCAAAUAAUGGAAAGGGAUACCGUAACCAUAAUCGAAUUCGAGAAUGCAAUUUUACAAUCACUAUCUUCUUAAAAUCUUUCUUAGUGAAAGCAUUUCCUCACAAUCAUUUUCAUGAAGGAAGAAAUCUUAUGACAGUUAGAUUUAAACGAUGUAUUUGUUCCUAUCGAUUUCUUGCCUUUAUGGUAGCACAGCUGCCCACCAUGUCUUCCAAGUAGUUAAGCAGCUCACCUUUUCUUAUCGGUGUACUUUCCAUUGAUCAAGGUUCUUGCCUUUUAUACAUUCAAAUGAGAACUCAUAGGACUCACAUGCAUAAUUAACUCUAUUGGAACGGCACAGAAACAAAAUAAUGUCAACACGAUAGGUUGUAAACCUCAACUCGUGCGCUAGUGAUGAUUGAUAAGGUUUAUUUGAUUUGUUCUUGAAACCUUUCAAGACCAUUAAGACUCCCACUGACUCCUUGACAUAUAAGAUUCUCUUGUCAAUAAGCAUUUCUUGACAAAC
rnacentral:lncRNA from 1 species